GUCCAAAAAGCCGUUACAGAACUUUCAGUCAGACUCAGCCGGUGCGCCAUUUUGACUGCUUCACUUCCAACCUGCCCAGCUUUCUUCUUCGCUUGUGGAUCCAAGACGAGCUGAAUCACAUUUUUUACAGUUAAUACACAGAUUUGUACACUGGCUACAGCACCUGCAUUUUUUUGUCAUCUUCACAUGGAGACCUGGCUGCAGCCUUUUGUUUUUAUCAUUUAAAUAUCAAGUUUCUGCACCCAUUCACAUCGGGGGUGCAGCUGUGGAGAGAGUCAAAAGCUUCAGAUUCCUUGGUAUAAACCUCAGUGAGGAUCUGAGCUGGACACACCAUAUUGGUGUGGUCACAAAGACAGCUAGACAGCGGCUCUUCCUUCUGCGCGGUCUGAGGAAAUUUGGCAUGGACUACAAAAUAUUGACCAACUUUUACCGCUGUACAAUAGAGAGCAUUCUGACUGGUGGCAUAACAACAUGGUAUGGUAACAGCACUGCCCAGGAUCGAAAAUCGCUACAAAGAGUUGUCAGAUCAGCACAGCGCAUUACAAGGACUGAGUUACCAUCCAUCCAGGACCUCUACAGCCAGCAUUGCAGAAGAAAGGCCAAGCGUAUAGUCUCUGACCCCAGUCAUCCCAGCCACUGUCUUCUCUCCCUCCUGCCUUCUGGCAGACGAUACAAGAGCAUAAGGACCCGUACCAGCAGAUACAGGGAUAGUUUUUACCUGCAAGUCAUCAGGAUGCUGAACCGUCCUUGGAAUUCCCCACAUAAUGGCACUUAGUUUUUGGAUUUUGUUUUACCCUCUUCCUCCUCAUCU